AGAAAAGUCAACUAAGACAAUGACAUCCUGGACGAUUUUAAGAUCAUGGCCAGACGCCUCUUGUAGGUGCCAAGUCGUGGAUGUGUCGUGGAUGCAGAUCAGCCAAGCAUAUCUGGAUAAAGCUUCGUUAUCCACUCAAGUGCCGAAGUGGGAGGACACCGUGAAAGAGCUUGAAGUCUUGCUAUCUGAAGUACUUUCUCACAAAGAGCGCUUGAUCCAGGUGCCACUACAGAUACAGUAAGAUCUACGGUUCUGGUUGAACUGUGUGCCAGCGCGACCGCUCCCCUUGCAGACUGCACGUGUCCCUCCAGUGAGCACGUCCCACAUCUGCGGCCUCAGCACCGAUGAGGACUCGACCGAGGACUUUGCAUUGUGAUCGCGCGUGACUCUGCCAUGUGGGAAAGGAGGAGGUUGAGCUCCUUCAAAUGCAAAGGAUGAUAAAAGACUAAUAAGACUAACUCUAUUUAAACUGUUAAAAAGCAAUCGUACCUGCAUGAUUAUAAACUCCACCGUGAGUGGUAAAUGACUGAUGUUUCCUGGAGGGAGGUCAAACAGGAAGUAGGAGUUCCACACAGCAAACGAGGCUCCUUUUGUUCCUCUGCUGCUGAUCACAAGCCCGUCGUGAUGCAGCUUGAUCACCACUUGGCAGUCUGUACACAAACACUGAUAGUCAAUGAUGUGGGAAUAAUAACACAAUAACAGAUGCUCUCACUGUUGGUGGUCAUGCAACAGACUUUGAUAUACUGUAUCCAGUAUAUGCAGUUGCGGAUA